UAGUGGUGGUACGGCGACCAUUGAAAAGCUUCUAACUAAGGUCUUCUUUGUAAUUGUGCUUAGAAAACGAAAGACGAGUGUUCAAUAUUCUUAAUGCUACACGAUUAAGAGUGAGUUUUUGGGAUUUUGUGUUAGACAUGAGAUCGGUCGGUGGCAAACUAAAGUAUGUUAUAGUGUUGCUAUUGACCGAGGCUUUUAAGUAUACUUUGGUGUGUUUUCUACUCGUUGGAUGAUUGCUGUGAUUUUAGGUUACGUAUAUACUUAUUUAUACUUUGAGAUGUCGUACAGC
rnacentral:lncRNA from 1 species